rnacentral:tRNA from 1 species
GGGCGAUUAGCUCAGCUUUGGUUAGAGCGCUUGCUUGACAUGCAAGAGGUCACAGGUUCGAGUCCUGUAUCGCCCACCA